AGAGUUUGAUUAUGGCUCAGGAUGAACGCUGGCGGCGUGCUUAACACAUGCAAGUCGAACGAAGCAUAUCUACGGAGCUCCUUCGGGAAGGAAGAAGGUAUGACUGAGUGGCGGACGGGUGAGUAACGCGUGGGUAACCUGCCCCAUACAGGGGGAUAACAGUUAGAAAUGACUGCUAAUACCGCAUAAGCGCACAGUAGCGCAUGUUACAGUGUGAAAAACUGAGGCGGUAUGGGAUGGGCCCGCGUCUGAUUAGCCAGUUGGCGGGGUAACGGCCCACCAAAGCGACGAUCAGUAGCCGACCUGAGAGGGUGACCGGCCACAUUGGGACUGAGACACGGCCCAAACUCCUACGGGAGGCAGCAGUGGGGAAUAUUGCACAAUGGGGGAAACCCUGAUGCAGCGACGCCGCGUGAGCGAAGAAGUAUUUCGGUAUGUAAAGCUCUAUCAGCAGGGAAGAAAGAAAUGACGGUACCUGACUAAGAAGCCCCGGCUAACUACGUGCCAGCAGCCGCGGUAAUACGUAGGGGGCAAGCGUUAUCCGGAUUUACUGGGUGUAAAGGGAGCGCAAGCGGCGCGU
rnacentral:rRNA from 1 species